UACGAAGGGGGCUAGCGUUGUUCGGAAUUACUGGGCGUAAAGCGCGUGUAGGCGGGCGAAUAAGUCAGGGGUGAAAUGCCAAGGCUCAACCUUGGAACUGCCUUUGAUACUGUUCGUCUUGAGUCCGGAAGAGGUGAGUGGAAUUGCGAGUGUAGAGGUGAAAUUCGUAGAUAUUCGCAAGAACACCAGUGGCGAAGGCGGCUCACUGGUCCGGAACUGACGCUGAGACGCGAAAGCGUGGGGAGCAAACAGG
rnacentral:rRNA from 1 species